rnacentral:rRNA from 1 species
AUUGAACGCUGGCGGCAGGCCUAACACAUGCAAGUCGAGCGGAUGAAGGGAGCUUGCUCCUGGAUUCAGCGGCGGACGGGUGAGUAAUGCCUAGGAAUCUGCCUGGUAGUGGGGGAUAACGUCCGGAAACGGGCGCUAAUACCGCAUACGUCCUGAGGGUGAAAGUGGGGGAUCUUCGGACCUUACGCUAUCAGAUGAGCCUAGGUCGGAUUAGCUAGUUGGUGGGGUAAAGGCCUACCAAGGCGACGAUCCGUAACUGGUCUGAGAGGAUGAUCAGUCACACUGGAACUGAGACACGGUCCAGACUCCUACGGGAGGCAGCAGUGGGGAAUAUUGGACAAUGGGCGAAAGCCUGAUCCAGCCAUGCCGCGUGUGUGAAGAAGGUCUUCGGAUUGUAAAGCACUUUAAGUUGGGAGGAAGGGCAGUAAGUUAAUACCUUGCUGUUUUGACGUUACCAACAGAAUAAGCACCGGCUAACUUCGUG